GGGCCGAUAGUUCAGUGGUAGAACGCCGCUUUUGCAAAGCGGAGGUCGGGGGUCCGACUCCCCCUCGGUCCA
rnacentral:tRNA from 1 species